CCUACGGGUGGCAGCAGUGAGGAAUAUUGGUCAAUGGCCGCAACUCUGAACCAGCCAAGUAGCGUGAAGGACGACGGCCCUAUGGGUUGUAAACUGCUUUUAUGCGGGGCUAAAAUGAGCCACGUGUGGCAUACUGCAGGUACCUCCUGAAUAAGGACCGGGUAAUUCCGUGCCAGCACCCGCGGUAAUACGGAGGGUCCGGGCGUUAUCCGGAUUUAUUGGGUUUAAAGGGGGCUAAGGCGGUUCGUUAAGCGCGUUGUGAAAGGUUGCGGCUCAACCGUAAAAUUGCAAUGGAAACUGGAAGGCUUGAGUACAGUUGAGGUAGGCGGAAUUCGUGGUGUAGCGGUGAAAUGCUUAGAUAUCACGAAGAACUCCGAUUGCGAAGGCAGCUUACCAAACUGUUACUGACGCUGAGGCUCGAAAGUGCGGGUAUCGAACAGGAUUAGAUACCCCGGUAGUC
rnacentral:rRNA from 1 species